rnacentral:misc_RNA from 1 species
CAACCCUUCUCUAACUCUGAUACAGAGUAAAGAGGGGAGGUACAUGCUGUUCACGAAGGAGGAGUCGGAAGAACCUGUUAAGCAUUUCUUGGUGGCCAAUACAGGGUACUCUCUACGUGUUUGUCAGUAUUGUAAGCUGAAAGGUGAUAAAUUCGCCAACGGGAACACAAGACAGACGUACUACAAGUGCGAUGCCUGUGGGGUACAUCUCUGUAGACCGCAGAUAAGGGACUGCUUUGUGAAUUACCACCAGUUAAAAUUUGCGAACAUUCAUAAAUGUAAAGUCCAAGGAUUAGACAGAAAAGUCCAAAGGUUAGACAAACGAAUGGCAGAACCCGCUGCUAUGAAAAGGGGAGUUAUUGAGGCGCCAGUGCUUAAUACUGUCACUACAAACUUAGAAGGCCAGUGUGAACUGUACACGAUGGAGGGAGGGAGAUUGAUAAGGCAUACCCUCAAGUCAAUGCCUGCAAGGAAAGUGUGUGCCUACUGCAAAUUCACGGGGGAAAGAUUCGCCAAUGGAAACAUUAAACAGACCUUUUAUCACUGCGAAACGUGCAAUGUGCCUCUCUGCAGGUUCCAAUCGCGCGAGUGUUUCCUCGUUUAUCACAAGCUGAAGUUUCAGGGAACCUCUUAGGGCAAGAAAGAAACUGCUUCCCCGGAAUCGCCAGCUCCAGAAAGCGCCGUUCUCCACAUCCUGUCCACAAUGCUUUCUGAAGGAGAUCCGGAGUUAGUGAGAGUAGAUCGUAUCGGGAACCAUAUGUUAUCACCCAUAGCAUUUCGUAUGCAGAGGCCGUGCGCAUACUGUAAAAAGAGAAAUGGACGAUUUCGAGGCGGACAGGUGCGCCGGUCUUAUUAUGAGUGUAGCAUUUGCCAGGUGCCACUCUGCCGGCCUCAAAGCAAACCUUGCUUUCUUAAGUAUCACGAGGACCUGGUCAGUAAAAUGCACCGCAAGUGAUUGAGAGUUCAUACUGUACGGUCUGCUUUAAUUUCACCAUACGUAUGUCCAGACUUGUUGUCAGGAAAUUACCAACUACUAUAUUAAGCUAAUGUGGUAUUAUCGUUCGUUGACUAGAUAUUUAGAAAACAUUGAAUGUACAAAGCUUAGAUUUAGCAUUGUUUUGCGUUUAGUAAAUAUUAAAUAUAGGAAAUAUUUGUUUUAAUUUAGAUGUAUGUUCGAAUAAUAAAGAUGAAAAAGU